CGGUUUAAUUGAAAAAACAUAGGCCUUUUUUUAGGGUUUAAUUGGAAAAGAGUCCAGACGCUACCCACAAAUCUAUCUCUUCCCUCCGGCUCACUCGGUCUCUCUCCCCUCUCGCUCAUCUCGCCCUCUCUCUUACCCUGUCUCGCUCACGCUUAGAGCCGAGUGCUUCUCCUGCUUUUUUUCCAUAGCACAAGCUCACAAUCUCCCCUCUCCUCACCCAGACGACGUCGUUUGCUUCGGUUUCCUCCGAAGAACAACUUGGAGUUGAGAGUCCUUUCUCGUUCUCACAGUUGGCUCUACGUGCGACUAUGUCUGAGCGAUGAGUAGUCGAGCAGUGGAAGACGACGCACUGGCCAAAGCCGCAAGAGCUGCCGAAGCUCUUUACCUCCUCUGAGACACCUACUUUCCAGCCGACCCGGAUGACAAAAUCUCCAGAUUAAACGCCGAUUCCGAUCUUGCCCUCAACCUCCUCGAUUCCAUACCUCUUGAGCAAAGAAAACAUCCGGCUUAACAUGCGAAAUACGAAUAUCUGAGAGGAAAGAUACUAGAUGUUUUACCGAAUUAUAGAAAAGAAGUAGAGGAUCAUCUAUCAAAAGCUGUUAAGUUGAAUCCAUCUCUUUCAGAUGCUUGGCUAUGUUUAGGUAACCGCAUUUGGAAGAAGGGAGAUCUAUCUUCAGCCAAGAACUGCUUUAAUCUUGCCCUAAGCAAGGUUAUUCUUGAUUAGAUUUUUGUAGUUUUAUUGCAGUGACCUCUCGAUUCAUUGUACUAUAAGUUUUAUGAUUGAGACGUGCGUUGCGUUUGGAGGCAGGGUCCAAAAAGGCAAAUACUCUGUCAACUUUCGAUGCUUGAAAGAAAAAUGGUUCAAGGCAACCGUUUUGUCGCUCAACUUGUUUUUCCUGUUGUUUUUCAUGAUGUUUGCGUCAUUAUGCUUACCUAAUUUUCAUCAUUUUUCUAGGUACCGUCAAUGAGGCAGGACAAAAGCAUUCAACAUGCCAAGGAAGCCAUAACUCUUGAUGUCAAGGAUGGCAAUUCAUGGUGUAAGAUCUCAUAAUCAACCAUCUCAAAAAGUUCUAUAUUCUUCGGAUUUGAACAAUCUUGGAAAUGCAUGUCUUACAAGAUUCUUUGUGACUGGAGCUUGGGACCAUUCCAAACUUCUGCAAUCUUUGAAGGCAUACCAAAAUGCAAUAAGUGCUUAAAGUAAGAACUACUGCAGAGUCAGAGUCAGUUGUCUAUGUGCUGUAUUUCUUGUAAGUAUGGAUCUUCUGUCAGUUAGAAGAUGUUCUAAUGUUUUACGUUGCGUAUCACGAAAAGGAUGAAAGAAUGCAGUCCAAUCCAGACCUAUAUUUUUUAACUGUGCCACUGUAAGCUCAGUUUUUCUUGUGUUUUGUCUGGAAUUAGUACUCAUAAGUUUCUCAAGUAGAUGAUGAUUCGUCAAUCUUUCUUUUCUGAGUCAGCGUCUAGAUAGGUUAAAGAUAGAGUUGUACUAAUACAAGUAGAGAGAAUAGGAAACAGUAAUGAUAAAUUAUAUAUUAUUUUCUGUUUUUGUUAAGUAAAGAGGAGGAUGUAUGAAGUGACAUAAGUUGCAUGAGUCUUAGAAAGACAUUCUGCCACCCGAUUGGGUCCUUAGUACUGCUCAAUAUCUCAUGUUUUGUACAAUUAUAAGAUUAAGUUUCUGGUUUUAGGUAAACAGAUAUCUGGAAAACUAUGAAAGGGCCCUUUCUGGAUUUGAAGAUGCUGCUUUAAAGGAUCCUGGUCUCAAUGCUACAGAGGAGGUUUAAAAGAUUGUUAGCCUUCUUGACAAGCUGGAUAAUCUGGUAUUUCGGUGUCUUCAAUGUUGAUAUUAAGUUAGCCUCCUCGCAUGAGUUUUCUGCCCUGAUAUUGUUAAGUUUCAGUAUCUUUGGGUGUUUUACCCGUUGGUUUUGCUAUUGUUUUAACUUUUACAUAUUAUUUACAGCCUUGCUGUGUAUCCGUUUGUAUGCUAUAUUGCAAGAAUUAUGCACGACUUUGCUAGGCUUAUUGUUGAGAUUGUCAAAAAUUUCGUUGCACUUUGAUGUGUUUAAAAAUUAAAACAAUAUCAUUUUCCUUUGUGUUGAU